UGGCGGCGUGCUUAACACAUGCAAGUCGAACGGACUUAUGAUGAAGCCUAGCGAUUAUAAGUUAGUGGCGGACGGUGAGUAACGCGUGGGUAACCUGCCUUAUACAGGGGGAUAACACUUAGAAAUAGGUGCUAAUACCGCAUAAGCGCACAGUAUCGCAUGAUACAGUGUGAAAAACUCCGGUGGUAUAAGAUGGACCCGCGUCUGAUUAGCUAGUUGGUGAGGUAACGGCUCACCAAGGCGACGAUCAGUAGCCGGCCUGAGAGGGUGAACGGCCACAUUGGGACUGAGACACGGCCCAAACUCCUACGGGUGGCAGCAGUGGGGAAUAUUGCACAAUGGGGGAAACCCUGAUGCAGCGACGCCGCGUGAGUGAAGAAGUAUUUCGGUAUGUAAAGCUCUAUCAGCAAGGAAGAAAAUGACGGUACUUGACUAAGAAGCCCCGGCUAACUACGUG
rnacentral:rRNA from 1 species